AGAUUGCUGGGGGAUCGUCUGAAAAGGCCUGCGCUUAAUUGCGCGGCCAAUUCUUGAUUCUCUGCUAUCAGUUUUCUAUUUCUCAUCCUAAACACAAUGGAGUUUUUUCUCUAUGAACUACUUCCCUGGAGAGCUCGUCUCUCCAGUGGACAUAAACACAAACAAUAUUUUGUAUUAUGAAAAACUAUUAUACUAUAAAAUUUAAUAUUCAAAACUUUCAACAACGGAUCUCUUGGUUCUCGCAUCGAUGAAGAACGCAGCGAAUUGCGAUAUGUAUUGUGAAUUGCAGAUUUUCGUGAAUCAUCAAAUCUUUGAACGCACAUUGCGCCCUCUGGUAUUCCAGGGGGCAUGCCUGUUUGAGCGUCAUUUCUCUCUCAAACCUUUGGGUUUGGUAGUGAGUGAUACUCGUCUCGGGUUAACUUGAAAGUGGCUAGCCGUUGCCAUCUGCGUGAGCAGGGCUGCGUGUCAAGUCUAUGGACUCGACUCUUGCACAUCUACGUCUUAGGUUUGCGCCAAUUCGUGGUAAGCUUGGGUCAUAGAGACUCAUAGGUGUUAUAAAGACCCGCUGGUGUUUGUCUCCUUGAGGCAUACGGCUUUAACCAAAACUCUCAAAGUUUGACCUCAAAUCAGGUAGGGGUACCCGCUGAACUUAAGCAUAUCAAUAAACCGGAGGAAAAAAAACCAACCGGGGAUUGCCUU
rnacentral:rRNA from 1 species